rnacentral:antisense_RNA from 2 species
CUUGAUGGUGGUUGUGUACAGGGCGCCCUCGGGCGCGCCGGGGUUUUAGGUGACUUUGCCGGUCUACUAACCUGUGCACAGCCGCCACCCUC